UCUGUUGACACGCGGAACGAUUACUUAUUUAAUCAGUACGCCUGAGCAUAAGAAUAUUGUUCGGUGUCAAGUGC
rnacentral:pre_miRNA from 1 species